UACAGAGGUCUCAAGCGUUGUUCGGAUUCAUUGGGCGUAAAGGGUGCGUAGGCGGCGCGGUAAGUCGGGUGUGAAAUCUCGGAGCUUAACUUCGAAACUGCAUUCGAUACUGCCGUGCUUGAGGACUGGAGAGGAGACUGGAAUUUACGGUGUAGCGGUGAAAUGCGUAGAUAUCUGGAGGAACACCGGUGGCGAAGGCGGCAUCCUGGACCGGUAUUGACGCUGAGGAGCGAAAGCCAGGGGAGCAAACGGG
rnacentral:rRNA from 1 species